AGGUUCCAGGAUGACCAUUUCACAGUCCAGUGGAACCAUUUAGUAUCACAUAUCUCGAGGAAGGUGCUGUUGCCACAAUAAUGCCUUGCUGGGGCUUCUCAGAUGAUCUACCAGACGUUUGGGUGGAUGGUUCCGUUGUGAUAAGGGAAUACACCAAUCGUGGAGUGCAGAAGAGCUGUGUUGAUGAAGAUGUGGUAUUGGCACCACAUGUACUUGCAGCUGUGGCUCAGUGGCAACUGGAGGUGACUAUGCAACUUCAAAGUGGAGAGUGACUGAACAGUACGGAUAAAGAACGGGCUUCUAGCUUCCAGCUUCCAGCUUCGUAGCAUCGCAUCACAGAGUGAGUGUGCGAGGCUAACAGCCUCGUGGCGAGGGUGGAAUGUGUCCAAGGAACCGCUUGAAUACGCAAUCUUAAUUUUGAUUGGCUGAAGCUUCAUAUGGUCAAUAACUGAAAGCAGCUAAACAUUCCAUACCACAGUAUCGACAGUGCACAGUAGGGCACAAUUCGGCCUCAGGUUCCUUAGAUCAUAACCACUGGAGGUCUUGUCAGUGACGGAAACGUGAGGAGCUACGUUGCGUAUUAGUUUCAGGUUUAGCGCACCUCGGGCAGAACUAGCAUAUAGGGUUUGCACCUUACGUUUGCGUUACGGACAGUGGCCUGUUCCGAAUGCACUUGCAACCAAGUCCUUUUAUCGUGUCAAGGAGUGCCCGCGCGCGAAAAGUGCUCUUGAUCGAUAAAUUGACCCUAGUUGCAAAAUGCAUUCGGAAUUCUCGCCCACCACAUCUAGCAACUGCGAAGAAAGGACGUUGCCUACGGUCUGCGACACAUCGCACUUCCGUUGCAGCAAAGGUACUGUGACUUACCAUUUAUGGACAAAUGCUGUAAUUAUGAAUAACGGAUGGAAUUUCGGCUCCUGGACUGUAUACUCGGCUGCGAUCUCGCUGGGAUAUGUCAUCUGUGCUCAGUUUCUUAACAAGUAUUUCGAGCCUUAUAUUUUUGCAGAUUGGUGUCCUCAUUCCAAACACAGUUCCAGUAAGGGCAUCGCAGUGCUCUGCUGUUUUCGGACGUAACCCUUCAUGGUCCGUGGCUAUGCUUCGAUCGUCGGUGACUCCUGCCAAUUCCAUUCUGUUGGCUGGCACUUCUCAGAUUUCCCGAGAGCUCGGAACCAGAAAAUGACCGACGACUGUGCACGGACCUGACGAAAUAUGUGAAAGCUUCGUCACCGUGCAGAGCAGAG